UUAAGAGGUUCCUGUCUUGUUCCCGUCUACUUCAGUACCUUCAGAGUGUAGAGUUGAUACUUUGGAGAUGGGGAAGUAUUUUCUCUUGCUUGGUUUCUGUAGUUCUGUUCUUUUUCCUAGUUGGUGUUUGCUCCUCCCUGGAACUAUCUGGACUUAUGAUGUGGGAGGGUUUUCCAGGUUAAGAUGCCUCUUCUGUUGGGAAGAUUCUAAAGUGACUGUCCAAGGUGGGCUUAAUUUCUGAAGGCUGGCUUUGUCAUAGGCAUUGGUUGGGAGGAUUUGGGUUCUGGAGUUUGAAGGGGGACUGCUGUUGAAUUGUGG
rnacentral:lncRNA from 1 species